GACGAACGCUGGCGGCGUGCCUAAUACAUGCAAGUCGAACGCUUCUUUCCUCCCGAGUGCUUGCACUCAAUUGGAAAGAGGAGUGGCGGACGGGUGAGUAACACGUGGGUAACCUACCCAUCAGAGGGGGAUAACACUUGGAAACAGGUGCUAAUACCGCAUAACAGUUUAUGCCGCAUGGCAUAAGAGUGAAAGGCGCUUUCGGGUGUCGCUGAUGGAUGGACCCGCGGUGCAUUAGCUAGUUGGUGAGGUAACGGCUCACCAAGGCCACGAUGCAUAGCCGACCUGAGAGGGUGAUCGGCCACACUGGGACUGAGACACGGCCCAGACUCCUACGGGAGGCAGCAGUAGGGAAUCUUCGGCAAUGGACGAAAGUCUGACCGAGCAACGCCGCGUGAGUGAAGAAGGUUUUCCGAUCGUAAAACUCUGUUGUUAGAGAAGAACAAGGACGUUAGUAACUGAACGUCCCCUGACGGUAUCUAACCAGAAAGCCACGGCUAACUACGUG
rnacentral:rRNA from 1 species